rnacentral:tRNA from 1 species
GGGCCGCUGGUGAAAUUGGUAGACACGCUAGUCUUAGGAACUAGUGCCGCAAGGCAUGGGGGUUCAAGUCCCUCGCGGCCCACCA